CUUCAAUCUAGCUUGACGACUCCUACAGAGAAGACGGCCUUAGCCUUCUUCACCUUUCCAGCUUGAAAAUGCCGCGUUAUGACGAUCGACAUGCCAAUACACGUCUCUAUGUUGGUCACCUGGCAUCUCGCACAAGGUCACGAGACCUUGAAUACCUUUUCAGCAAAUAUGGAAGAGUACGAGAUGUGGAUAUGAAGCGUGACUACGCAUUUGUUGAAUUUAGUGAUCCUCGUGAUGCUGAUGAUGCAAGAUAUCACUUGGAUGGUAAGGAGUUUGAUGGCAGCCGUAUCAUUGUGGAAUUUGCAAAGGGGGUACCUCGUGGUUCUCGAGAAUAUUUGGGCAGAGGUCCUCCUCCAGGAUCUGGACGUUGCUUUAA
rnacentral:misc_RNA from 1 species